AGCGAACGCUGGCGGCAGGCCUAACACAUGCCAGUCGAACGAACUCUUCGGAGUUAGUGGCGGACGGGUGAGUACCACGUGGGAACGUGCCCUUGGGUUCGGAAUAACUCAGGGAAACUUGUCCUAAUACCGAAUGUGCCCUUCGGGGGAAAGAUUUAUGGCCAUGAGGUCGGCCCGCGUCUGAUUCGCCAGUUGGGGAGGUAACGGCUCGCCAAGGGGACGUUGAGUAGCUGGUCUGAGAGGAUGCCCAGCUACACUGGGACUGAGACACGGCCCAGACUCCUACGGAGGGCAGGAGUAGGGAGUCUUGCGCAAUGGACGAAAGCCUGACAAAGCCGUGCGGGGUGAAUGAUGAAGGGCUUAGGAUUGUAAAAUUCUUUGAGCGGAGACGAUAAUGACGGUACCCGGUGAAGAAGCCCCGGCUAACUACGUG
rnacentral:rRNA from 1 species